rnacentral:rRNA from 1 species
AAUAGAUACCCAGGUAGUCCACGCCGUAAACGUUGGGCGCUAGAUGUGGGGACCAUUCCACGGUUUCCGCGUCGUAGCUAACGCAUUAAGCGCCCCGCCUGGGGAGUACGGCCGCAAGGCUAAAACUCAAAGGAAUUGACGGGGGCCCGCACAAGCGGCGGAGCAUGCGGAUUAAUUCGAUGCAACGCGAAGAACCUUACCAAGGCUUGACAUAUGCGAGAACGCUCUAGAAAUAGAGAACUCUUUGGACACUCGUAUACAGGUGGUGCAUGGUUGUCGUCAGCUCGUGUCGUGAGAUGUUGGGUUAAGUCCCGCAACGAGCGCAACCCUCGUCGCAUGUUGCCAGCACGUAAUGGUGGGAACUCAUGUGAGACUGCCGGGGUCAACUCGGAGGAAGGUGGGGAUGACGUCAAAUCAUCAUGCCCCUUAUGUCUUGGGCUUCACGCAUGCUACAAUGGCCGGUACAAAGGGCUGCGAAACCGCAAGGUGGAGCGAAUCCCAAAAAGCCGGUCUCAGUUCGGAUUG